CCUGCAUGAAGUUGGAUUCGCUAGUAAUCGCGCAUCAGCCAUGGCGCGGUGAAUACGUUCCCGGGCCUUGUACACACCGCCCGUCAAGCCAUGAAAGUCGGGGGGUGCUUGAAGUACGCUUACCGUAAGGGGCGUCCUAAGGCAAAACCGAUAAUUGGGGCUAAGUCGUAACAAGGUACC
rnacentral:rRNA from 1 species